rnacentral:rRNA from 1 species
GACGAACGCUGGCGGCGUGCCUAAUACAUGCAAGUCGAGCGGAGCGGCGGACGGGUGAGUAAUGCCUAGGAAUCUGCCUGGUAGUGGGGGAUAACGUCCGGAAACGGGCGCUAAUACCGCAUACUAUCAGAUGAGCCUAGGUCGGAUUAGCUAGUUGGUGGGGUAAAGGCCUACAAAGGCGACGAUCCGUAACUGGUCUGAGGGGAUGAUCAGUCACACUGGAACUGAGACAGGGUCCAGACUCCUACGGGAGGCAGAAGUGGGGAAUAUUGGACAAGGGGCGAAAGCCUGAUCCAGCCAUGCCGCGUGUGUGAAGAGGGUCUUCGGAUGGUAAAGCACUUUAAGUUGGGAGGCGUUACCAACAGAAUAAGCACCGGCUAACUUCGUGCCAGCAGCCGCGGUAAUUC